UAUGGCUUUCUUUUCCUGUGUGACGUCAUAUCUCUCACAGUAAAGUAAGCCAUUAU
rnacentral:pre_miRNA from 1 species